rnacentral:rRNA from 1 species
ACUGAACGCUGGCGGAAUGCUUUACACAUGCAAGUCGAACGGCAGCACGGACUUCGGUCUGGUGGCGAGUGGCGAACGGGUGAGUAAUGUAUCGGAACGUGCCCAGUCGUGGGGGAUAACGUAGUGAAAAUCACGCUAAUACCGCAUACGAUCUAUGGAUGAAAGCGGGGGAUCGCAAGACCUCGCGCGAUUGGAGCGGCCGAUAUCAGAUUAGGUAGUUGGUGGGGUAAAGGCCCACCAAGCCAACGAUCUGUAGCUGGUCUGAGAGGACGACCAGCCACACUGGAACUGAGACACGGUCCAGACUCCUACGGGAGGCAGCAGUGGGGAAUUUUGGACAAUGGGCGAAAGCCUGAUCCAGCCAUUCCGCGUGCAAGAUGAAGGCCCUCGGGUUGUAAACUGCUUUUGUACAGAACGAAAAGGUUUCUACUAAUACUAGGAGCUCAUGACGGUACUGUAGGAAUAAGCACCGGCUAACUACGUGCCAGCCGCCGCGGUAA